rnacentral:misc_RNA from 1 species
GAAAUGCGAUAAGUAAUGUGAAUUGCAGAAUUCAGUGAAUCAUCGAAUCUUUGAACGCACCUUGCGCUCCUUGGUAUUCCUUGGAGCAUGCCUGUUUGAGUAUCAUGAAAUCUUCAAAGUAAAUCUUUUGUUAACUCAAUUGGUUUCUACUUUGGUAUUGGAGGUCUUUGCAGCUUCACACCUGCUCCUCUUUGUUCAUUGCUGGAUCUCAGUGUUAUGCUUGGUUCCACUCGGCGUGAUAAGUUAUCUAUCGCUGAGGACACUGUAAAAGGUGGCCAAGGUAAAUGCAGAUGAACCGCUUCUAAUAGUCCAUUGACUUGGACAAUACUUUUAUGAUCUGAUCUCAAAUCAGGUAGGACUACCCGCUGAACUUAAGC